CUCAGUUCGGAUUGAAGUCUGCAACCCGACUUCAUGAAGCUGGAUUCGCUAGUAAUCGCGCAUCAGCCACGGCGCGGUGAAUACGUUCCCGGGCCUUGUACACACCGCCCGUCAAGCCAUGGGAGCCGGGGGUACCUGAAGUGCGUAACCGCAAGGAGCGCCCUAGGGUAAAACUGGUGACUGGGGCUAAGUCGUAACAAGGUACC
rnacentral:rRNA from 1 species